rnacentral:rRNA from 1 species
GGAGUCUGGGCCGUGUCUCAGUCCCAAUGUGGCCGAUCACUCUCUCAAGUCGGCUACUGAUCGUCGGCUUGGUAGGCCGUUACCCCACCAACUACCUAAUCAGACGCGGGUCCAUCUCAUGCCAAUAAAUCUUUUCACACUGUACCAUGCAGUACUGUGCGCUUAUGCGGUAUUAGCAGUCAUUUCUAACUGUUAUCCCCCUGCAUGAGGCAGGUUACCCACGCGUUACUCACCCGUCCGCCACUAAGUCACAAACAUCUUCACCCCGAGGGGAUCUGUCGUAAGUGCUUCGUUCGACUUGCAUGUAUUAAGCACGCCGCCAGCGUUCAUC